CGCGGGGCCUCGGGGCGGCGCCUGAGGCGCUCCCAGCGCCCGGAGGCACCGGGCUGACGGAGCGGGCUCUCUGAGCUGAAAGGCAGCAGAGGAUUUUCUGGGACAGGAUAACAGACAGACUGAGGACACUGUCACCUUGGUGUGAGCAGAGCUGGCUAAGCAGAAUUGAGUGACUGUGGGAGCACUUGUUGAGCUUGGUGCUCAUGCUGAGGAUGUUCUUGCAUCUCUGAUAAUACCAAUGGUGCAGGAAUUUAUCAUUCAUAACCUGGGCCCUCCAAGCACUGAUAUUAUUAGUUUCUCCUGACUCCAUGGCAGCCUUUCUUAAGUUUGCUGAUGAUCAGGAGACUGAACAAUGGCAGUAACCACAGGUGCUAACUGGAAGCCUUACCUGUGAUUACUGAUAAGUCAAAUAUUAGCAGAGUUACUAAAGGUAAGGAGAAACUGUUGAGAAAUACUCAGUGCUUUU